rnacentral:sRNA from 1 species
UCCUGAUUUACAUUGAUAUCCGCAUUUGCGCAUCAUUUCA